rnacentral:pre_miRNA from 1 species
UGGUGAUGAUGAUGAUGAUGAUGAUGAUGAUGGUGAUGGUGAUACCGAUUAGGACGAUGAUAGUAUGGAUAACUCGCAUAAGAGUGAUUAACGUAUUAUAGAGAAUAAAUAUUAUCAUUUGUAUAUCUCUAAGUAUUAUAAGAUUUCCAUAAGCAAUCAUCACUAUCACCAUCGUCAUCAUCAUCAUCAUCAUCAUCAUUA